AGUUGGCAAUUAACUUGAUAACAAUAACAAUGAGGGAAUGUCUCGAGGCCAUUUGUUGUGCUCUGAGGGGUCCGGGGUAAAAAGGAAGUUACAAGUUACCCAGACAUCUCACAGAUAAGCUAUCUUAGAGGCUGGAAGGGCAGAUGGGCUCAAUAAAGAUCGAAGUUAAUCUUUGUCAGGGAAAACAUUGACCUA